rnacentral:lncRNA from 1 species
GCAACGAUCUUCUCAAAAUUCUACACUUUACUCCAUCAGCAACAAUCUUCUCCAAAAAUUCUACACUUUACUCCAUCAGCAACGAUCUUCUCCAAAAAUUCUACACUUUACUCCAUAAGCAACGAUCUUCUCAAAAUUCUACACUUUACUCCAUCAGCAACAAUCUUCUCCAAAAAUUCUACACUUUACUCCAUCAGCAACAAUCUUCUCCAAAAAUUCUACACUUUACUCCAUCAGCAACGAUCUUCUCCAAAAAUUCGACACUUUACUCCAUCAGCAACGAUCUUCUCCAAAAAUUCGACACUUUACUCCAUCAGCAACGAUCUUCUCCAAAAAUUCGACACUUUACUCCAUCAGCAACGAUCUUCUCCAAAAAUUCUACACUUUACUCCAUCAGCAACGAUCUUCUCCAAAAAUUCGACAUUUUACUCCAUCAGCAACGAUCUUCUCCAAAAAUUCUACACUUUACUCCAUCAGCAACGAUCUUCUCAAAAUUCUACACUUUACUCCAUCAGCAACAUCAGCAACGAUCUUCUCAAAUUCUACACUUUACUCCAUCAGCAACAAUCUUCUCAAAUUCGACAAUUUUACUCCAUCAGCAACAAUCUUCUCCAAAAAUUCUACACUUUACUCCAUCAGCAACGAUCUUCUCCAAAAAUUCUACACUUUACUCCAUCAGCAACGAUCUUCUCAAAAUUCGACACUUUACUCCAUCAGCAACGAUCUUCUCAAAAUUCGACAUUUUACUCCAUCAGCAACGAUCUUCUCCAAAAAUUCUACACUUUACUCCAUAAGCAACGAUCUUCUCAAAAUUCUACACUUUACUCCAUCAGCAACGAUCUUCUCAAAAUUCUACACUUUACUCCAUCAGCAACGAUCUUCUCCAAAAAUUCUACACUUUACUCCAUCAGCAACGAUCUUCUCCAAAAAUUCGACACUUUACUCCAUCAGCAACGAUCUUCUCCAAAAAUUCGACACUUUACUCCAUCAGCAACGAUCUUCUCCAAAAAUUCGACACUUUACUCCAUCAGCAACGAUCUUCUCCAAAAAUUCGACACUUUACUCCAUCAGCAACGAUCUUCUCCAAAAAUUCGACAUUUUACUCCAUCAGCAACGAUCUUCUCCAAAAAUUCGACAUUUUACUCCAUCAGCAACGAUCUUCUCAAAAUUCGACAUUUUACUCCAUCAGCAACGAUCUUCUCAAAAUUCGACAUUUUACUCCAUCAGCAACGAUCUUCUCCAAAAAUUCUACACUUUACUCCAUCAGCAACGAUCUUCUCAAAAUUCUACACUUUACUCCAUCAGCAACGAUCUUCUCAAAAUUCUACACUUUACUCCAUCAGCAACAAUCUUCUCAAAAUUCGACAAUUUACUCCAUCAGCAACAAUCUUCUCCAAAAAUUCUACACUUUACUCCAUCAGCAACGAUCUUCUCCAAAAUUCUACACUUUACUCCAUCAGCAAC